rnacentral:rRNA from 1 species
CCUACGGGGCGCAGCAGUGGGGAAUAUUGGACAAUGGGGGAAACCCUGAUCCAGCGACGCCGCGUGAGUGAAGAAGUAUUUCGGUAUGUAAAGCUCUAUCAGCAGGGAAGAAAAUGACGGUACCUGACUAAGAAGCCCCGGCUAACUACGUGCCAGCAGCCGCGGUAAUACGUAGGGGGCAAGCGUUAUCCGGAAUUACUGGGUGUAAAGGGAGCGUAGACGGCUGUGCAAGUCUGGAGUGAAAGGCGGGGGCCCAACCCCCGGACUGCUCUGGAAACUGUAUGGCUGGAGUGCAGGAGGGGUAA